UACGUAGGGGGCAAGCGUUGUCCGGAAUCAUUGGGCGUAAAGCGCGUGUAGGCGGCCAGAUAAGUCCGCUGUGAAAUCUCGAGGCUCAACUUCGAGCUGUCGGUGGAAACUGUCUGGCUAGAGUCCGGAAGAGGAGAAUGGAAUUCCUGGUGUAGCGGUGAAAUGCGCAGAUAUCAGGAAGAACACCCGUGGCGAAGGCGGUUCUCUGGGACGGUACUGACGCUGAGGUGCGAAAGCGUGGGGAGCAAACAGG
rnacentral:rRNA from 1 species